rnacentral:rRNA from 1 species
AUACGUAGGGGGCGAGCGUUGUCCGGAAUGAUUGGGCGUAAAGGGCGCGUAGGCGGCCCGGUAAGUCUGGAGUGAAAGUCCUGCUUUUAAGGUGGGAAUUGCUUUGGAUACUGUCGGGCUUGAGUGCAGGAGAGGUAAGUGGAAUUCCCAGUGUAGCGGUGAAAUGCGUAGAGAUUGGGAGGAACACCAGUGGCGAAGGCGACUUACUGGACUGUAACUGACGCUGAGGCGCGAAAGUGUGGGGAGCAAAUAGGAUUAGAUACCCUGGUAGUCCACACUGUAAACGAUGAAUGCUAGGUGUAGGGGGUAUCGACCCCUUCUGUGCCGCAGUUAACACAAUAAGCAUUCCGCCUGGGGAGUACGGCCGCAAGGUUGAAACUCAAAUGAAUUGACGGGG